rnacentral:rRNA from 1 species
UUGCCCUAGUAACGGCGAGUGAAGCGGCAACAGCUCAAAUUUGAAAUCUGGCGCCUUCGGUGCCCGAGUUGUAAUUUGUAGAGGGUAGCUCGAGCCCGCCCCCGUCUAAGUCCCCUGGAACGGGGCGUCGUAGAGGGUGAGAAUCCCGUAUGCGACGGGGUGGCGUGCUCGUGUGAGCUCCCUUCGACGAGUCGAGUUGUUUGGGAAUGCAGCUCUAAAUGGGAGGUAAAUUCCUUCUAAAGCUAAAUACCGGCCAGAGACCGAUAGCGCACAAGUAGAGUGAUCGAAAGAUGAAAAGCACUUUGGAAAGAGAGUUAAAAAGCACGUGAAAUUGUUGAAAGGGAAGCGCUCACGACCAGACUCGGGUGCGGCUGCUCAGCCGGUCUUCUGACCGGUGCAUCGGUUGUACCCGGGCCAGCAUCGGUUCGGGCGGUCGGAUAAAGGCCUCGGGAACGUAGCUCCUCUCGGGGAGUGUUAUAGCCCGGGGCGCAAUGCGGCCUGCCCGGACCGAGGAACGCGUUCGCUAGGAUGCUGGCGUAAUGGUCGUUAGCGGCCCGUCUUGAAACACGGACCAAGGAGUCUACCAUCUGUGCGAGUAUUAGGGUGUCAAACCCUUGUGCGUAAUGAAAGUGAACGGAGGUGGGAACCCUUUGGGUGCACCAUCGACCGAUCCAGAUGUCCUCGGACGGAUUUGAGUAAGAGCACCGCUGGUGGGACCCGAAAGAUGGUGAACUAUGCGCGGAUAGGGUGAAGCCAGAGGAAACUCUGGUGGAGGCUCGCAGCGGUUCUGACGUGCAAAUCGAUCGUCAAAUCUACGCAUAGGGGCGAAAGA